UGCAGUCGAACGGCAGCAUGAUCUAGCUUGCUAGAUUGAUGGCGAGUGGCGAACGGGUGAGUAAUACAUCGGAACGUGCCCUGUAGUGGGGGAUAACUAGUCGAAAGAUUAGCUAAUACCGCAUACGACCUGAGGGUGAAAGUGGGGGACCGCAAGGCCUCAUGCUAUAGGAGCGGCCGAUGUCUGAUUAGCUAGUUGGUGAGGUAAAGGCUCACCAAGGCGACGAUCAGUAGCUGGUCUGAGAGGACGAUCAGCCACACUGGGACUGAGACACGGCCCAGACUCCUACGGGAGGCAGCAGUGGGGAAUUUUGGACAAUGGGAGCAACCCUGAUCCAGCAAUGCCGCGUGUGUGAAGAAGGCCUUCGGGUUGUAAAGCACUUUUGUCCGGAAAGAAAUCGCACUUACUAAUAUUAGGUGUGGAUGACGGUACCGGAAGAAUAAGGACCGGCUAACUACGUGCCAGCAGCCGCGGUAAUACGUAGGGUCCAAGCGUUAAUCGGAAUUACUGGGCGUAAAGCGUGCGCAGGCGGUUGUGCAAGACCGAUGUGAAAUCCCCGGGCUUAACCUGGGAAUUGCAUUGGUGACUGCACGGCUAGAGUGUGUCAGAGGGGGGUAGAAUUCCACGUGUAGCAGUGAAAUGCGUAGAGAUGUGGAGGAAUACCGAUGGCGAAGGCAGCCCCCUGGGAUAACACUGACGCUCAUGCACGAAAGCGUGGGGAGCAAACAGGAUUAG
rnacentral:rRNA from 1 species